CUUUGAAAUUUAGCUUUCUGGAAAGUUUUAGACCAAAAUCUUUUAUAGAAAAAAAUGAUGCAACUUUAAAUAUCGACUUUGUAAAUUACCAAAAUAACGCUUAUUUUUUGAGAUACUGACCAUGGGUGGUGAAUGGUUAAUUAGUCAAUUUAUCCAUUCCUUAUUUCAAACGUAUGUUUUUUUACCCCCGAGAAAAGGUGUCUUUCACCCUCAAGUAAAAGCAACCAACGGCACAAGUCCAACUUUGAAGUGGAGGGUAAGUAGAACCUAAACUCAAAUUUUCAAGCAAAUCCGUCGUAACGCGGAAAAUUACUUUCCAAAACGGUCAUUUUCGGCUAAAUCUAAAUAAUCUAAUUUCCACCGUCUCAUAAUAUUUAUACAAAUAUGUAACAACCAGUAUUUGAUAUGAUUUCUAUAUAAAAUACAAAAGUCACAGUACCAAUUUUACCGAUAUUAAUUUUCCUAAAACUUAAUAAAUAAAUAAAUACUUAAUCCGCUUAACCAUGGGAGCGAACUAGGUUAUGGUUUUCGGAGCGAACUAGUAUGUAAUUAAGAGGAUUUUUUGACCUUGGGAGCGAACUAGUGUGCUCCGAUUUUCUAUGUCAAAUAAAAAAUAACAAUGCCAUUUUCGCCGAUGUUAAUUUUCCUAGAACUUAGUAGAUAAAUACUUAAUCCGCUUAACCAUGGGAGCGAACCCGUAUACGGUUUUCGGAGCGAACUAGUACGUAAUUAAAAGGGUUUUUUGACCUCGGGAGCAAACUAGUGUGCUCCGAAACUGUUUUGUGCAAUUUUCACAUUCAAACAGUUUUCAGCAGUGUGCAUUCUCAUCAUAUAAAUUUUGAAGUGACCACUUAGUAAAAACUGUUUUGUGCACAUUUCACAUCCAAAUGGUUUUUCCCCACUUUGCAAAACUUCUUGGUGCAAAUUUCACAUCCAAAUAGAUUUUUAAUAGUAAGCACCACCAUAUGUAUUUUUAACUCAUAUUGCGUUACAAACUGUUUUGUAUACAUUUCACAUCUAAUGGUUUUUCACCAGUGUGCGUUCUCAUAUGAACUUUUAAGCUAGAAUUUUGUGUAAACUGCUUUGUGCAUAUUUCACAUCCAAAUGGUUUUUCACCAGUAUGCACCACCAUGUGUGUUUUUAAGUGAGUUCUUUUUAAAAACUGUUUUGUGCAUAUUUCACAACCAAAAGGUUUUUCCCCAGUAUGCAUCACCAUAUGCAUUUUUAAGUCACUAUGUGUAACAAACUGUUUUGUGCAUAUUUCACAUAUAAACAGUUUUUCACCAGUGUGCAUUCUUAUCAUAUGAAUUUUUAAGUGACCAUUUCGUAAAAACUGUUUUGUGCAUAUUUCACAUCCAAAUGGUUUUUCUCCAUUGUGAAAUCUCAAAUGUAUUUUUAAAUCAGAACUUCGCGAAAACUUUUUGUUGCAAAUUUCACAUCCAAAUAGUUUUUCAUUAGUAUGCACCACCAUAUGCAGUUUUAGCUCAUAGGGCGUUACAAACUGUUUUGGGCAUAUUUCACAUCUAAAUGGUUUUUCACCAGUGUGCGUUCUCAUAUGAACUUUUAAGCUAGAAUUUUGUGUAAACCGUCUUGUGCACAUUUCACAUCCAAAUGGUUUUUCACCAGUGUGUGUUCUCAUAUGAAGUGUUAGGUGUGCACUUCGUGAAAACUUUUUUGUACAUAUUUCACAUACAAAUGGUUUUUCUCCAGUAUGCACUUCCAUGUGUUUUUUUAAAUACCUAUUUAGUGAAAACUGUUUCUUGCAAAUUUUACAUCCAAAUGGUUUUUCACCAGUGUGAAUUCUCAAAUGUUUUUUUAAAUCGGAACUAUAAAAAAACCCUUUGGUGCAAAUUUCACAUCGAAACGGAUUUUUAUCAGUGUGCGUUCUCAUAUGAACUUUUAAGUAAGCACUUCGUGAAAACUGUUUUGUGCAUAUCUCACAUCCAAAUGGUUUUUCUCCAGUGUGAAUUCUCAAAUGUAAUUUUAAAUCAGAACUAUAUGAAAACCCUUUGGUGCAAAUUACACAUCGAAUUGGUUUUUCAUCAAUAUGCAACGUCAUAUGUUGUUUUAGAUUAUCAUUUGUAACAAAUUUGUUACUGCAAAUUUCACAUGUAAAAUGGUUUUCAGAGGAAUUAAUAUUCAUGUAAACUUUGUGUUCGCUAAGUGUGUAUUGUUCCGAGAUGGUUUCAUAUGUGACAGAUUUUUCCCUAGUGUGCUGCUGUAUCAAAUGUCUUCCUAAACUUUCCUUCAAUGCAUACUUUUUAAAACAAAUUUGACAAGCAAAAGAUUUUUCAACGGUAUUCACUUUCCUGCCGUCAGUUGUACUUUGUUUCAGUUGGUUAUUUAUAACCUGAUUUUUAAAUAGGCCGUUCCAACAUGCUGUCAAAAUUAAAUCAAUAUGGCUGCUGGAAGUAAAACAUAAAUGUUAUUCUUAAUGUGUUUUAGAUGGUUUUAGAUCACUUUUGUUGUGUUUCUUUGUAAUUUUGUGUUGUGUACAAAGAUUAAUUUAACAUUUUCUCUGGAAGUAUUAAUUUAGAAAGAUAAUAUGCUUCAUUGGUGUUGUGUUUUGAAGUGUGAAAUGCAAAGUAAUCCUGAUAAAGUCAAGAUAAAGUUCACUUUUAAACUGAACUAAAUACGGUAUCAGCUGAGAGACAACAAUGGUUAAAUGCAAUACAAUGUAAGGUUUUACUAGCGAAAUGAAAAUUCUCCUGUCCUGUCUGCUGUAAUCAUUUUAUAUCUGGAAAACCAGCCGACUUAAUCGAUAAUAACAAUCCAGAUUGGGUUCCUUCAAUAAAUAUGGGCUAUAAACACAAUGAAAUAAGUUCCCCAAAAUCUAAAAUGAAGUGGUAUCAAAGGAGAAUUAAAAGAAAAAAUAUUCAUAUUGAAAUUAUUUAUAAGGCACUGGACUGUCUUAAAUUCUACAAAUACUAGAAUCAGCUGAGAGAAGUAAGUGGUCUACAAAAAAACUAGGAAGGGAAUGGAAUAUGUGGCUACGAAAGGCAAAAGAAAUGAAUACAAAGCAAAUGUGACACAUUUUUUUAAAAAUAUGUAGGAAUAUGAGUAAACUACAUUAAAA